rnacentral:misc_RNA from 1 species
CACUGCCAUUGUUGUUGGAAUUCUGCAGCAGUUUGACAGCGACAAGACGACCGGCUGAUAAUAAUCUGCCCUUGUAGACAUUACCAUAGCCUCCUUCACCUAAUUUUUCUCUGAAGCCAUUGGUCAUCUUCUUUAUAUCACUGUAUGAAAAGUUGGUUAUCAAAGAUGAUUGAUAGGUUUUAACAAAUUGCUCAACGUUUUUUCUAUCUUCAGUACUUUGGUUAUUCAUCUUGAAGGAAGGCAAAAUUCGUUUUCUGAAGGCUAGUACCAGUAGAACAAUGAUAAGCAGAAUGAAACAGCUCCCAAUGGAAACACCUAAUAUAAACCCCAGCUUCUUCCAAUUUUUCUUUGAGCUUCCCAGCUUGUGGAAGCAAGCAAUUCCCUUCAAGUUAUCAUCGAAUCCGCACCGUCCUCCUUUUGAAUUACAGGUUAUGCAGUCCGUAAAAUUGGGCCAAGUCAAAGGAAACCCAUCCGCCAACAUAUCAACCAGUUCAGUCGAGGGAUCAAAAGAUUCAGAGCCACUUCUAUUCAAGAAUAAUGCGUAGCUUGAAAUAGAGACAGGUACCAUAAUCAAAUUGCAUCCGCUUGGUGUUUGCACAGGGCUGAAUUCUGAUGGACGCCCUGGACUGCCAUUUUUCCAAAUAUAUAGUUCAGUACCGUCUUUACAAGUAUAAUUACUAACCAUCUUAUCAAGAAAUUCUCGAGAAGGACCUGGACAAGAAAUUAAAGUGAGGUUAAAAGUUCCCGGAAGGAGACUAAGAGGGGCUAUAUAGUCACUAAAAAUUGUAAGGUUAUUCAAAGAAGUGCAGUGGCCAGCCGUCAACUGAGUGAUAAGUUGGGUAUCAACAACAGUGAUCAAGCGAUCAGAGAGAUAGAAGCCUUUGACUGAGAAGAACUUGCCGGAAAAAAUGAUCCCUGGAGACUGUUCAUCAUAACAUGUGCACUGGUAGCCGGGAAGGCCACAGCUUCUGGGGCCUGAAACGUUAGAGAAGGGGAAAGAGAAGGUGCUGUUGCCACACUUGAAUGGGGAACAAAGGUCAUAGUCCGAUGCGUUGUUUUGGGAUCGGAUAUGAGAAGGGAAGGUGGAGAUAAUCAGUGAUAUUAUUACCAAGGCAGAGAGAAUACAAGAUUUUGGAGCUUCGGUCCACAUUUCUUUGCUCCAAUUUGUUCUGCUGACUGAA